rnacentral:rRNA from 1 species
GGAUAAACCGGGUAGGAGAUAUGUUCUGGAAUGAUGUAUCUUUGAAACUUUGGUCUAAGGAUGAGGCUGCGGCUGAUUAGGUAGUUGGCGGGGUAAAUGCCCACCAAGCCGGUGAUCAGUAAGGGCUCUUAGCGGAGAGGCCCUGAGAGGGAAUCUUAGACACUAUUCCCAGCCCUACGGGGUGCAGCAGUUAGGGAACUUUUCCAAUGCGCGUAAGCGUGAGAAAGCAAGUCAGAGUGAUUUUGAUAUAAUUUCAAAAUCUUUUGCCAAAUGCAAAAAAUUUGGCGAAUAAGGACUGGGCAAGACCGGUGCCAGCCGCCGCGGUAAUCCCGGCGGUCCAAGUCGCAUCCACAAUUAUUGGGUCUAAAACAUUCGUAGCUUGUUCGUUAAGUUCUUUGUGAAACCUUGUAUCUCAAGUACAAGGCGUGCAAAGAAUACUGGCGAGCUUGAGACCGGAAGAAGUAAGAAGUACAGUUGAGGUAGCGGUAAAAUGUGUUAAUCUUAACUGGACUAACAACAGCGAAGGCAUCUUACUAGUACGGAUCUGACAGUGAGGGAUGGAGGCUAGGGGCGCGAAACGGAUUAGAUACCCGUGUAGUCCUAGCUGUAAACACUGCUCACUGAACAUUAGUACCUCCUCGAGAGGUAUUAGUGCUGUAGCGAAGGCGAAGAGUGAGCUACC